CGGGGCAUACUCUGUUGAAUAAUUCUAUCCUUAUAUAUAUAUAUAUUUUAUGUAUCAUUAGAUAUAUUACUUUAUGUAUCUAAAUGUACGUUUACUAUAUCGAUAAAGAUUAUCAAAUUAUUUCCUAACAUUAUUGCCAUUAAAACUCAUCGUAGUGAUCAUUUACAUAACGAUACUACGCGUAUUGUUUUGUGACUCAUUCUCCACAUAUAUUUAAGACAAGACAAGAAAAUAUGAAGAUAAAAAAAGAGAGAGAAAUUCUAAUUCUAUAAAAAGGAAACCUUCUGACUGCAGCAACAGUUUCUCGAAUUUCUCACAAGCAAAACAGUAGUGUACAUUUAACAGACUUAAGCCCAGAAAGUAAAGUAAUAGUGCUCGACUCAAAAAUUUAUUUAAUACAAUGAAGAUACGCUGUGAUUUCUACAACAGUGGAGUUACCUACGCCGUUGUGUGGCUGUCGUUAACUUAUCUGCUGUUCAUCCUCUCGCUAGCAACAAUAAUCACCGCCAAGCCGACCAUCAAUGAGAUUGACACCAGUAUGACUAGCAAGAAUGCUACAAACGAGACAUGCCCACCUAUCAUGUGUCCCAUAAUGAUAUGCCGCUGGGGAUUCAGCCACGAAACCGAUGAAGUAACCGGCUGUCAAACGUGCAAGUGCUGGGAUCCCUGUUCCAACAUUGAAUGUCCAAAAAACAAGAUAUGCGUGCUACAAAUGCGAGCAUGUUUUACAACACCGUGUCCCCCGUUAACUACCUGUGAGAAUAUCAUGUCUUCAUCAACAUUCUAAUAUGCAGGCAAAUCAUUGUAAAUCACCAAUUCGCAACGGCUAUUCGCAACGUGCCAGUGUGACAAUCCGGCUCUGCGUUGCCACAGGUGUGGAGCGAUGCGUAAAACGUGAAGUCGUCGCAUCCGCAGACGAACC